GAGUUUGAUCCUGGCUCAGAACGAACGCUGGCGGCAGGCUUAACACAUGCAAGUCGAGCGAUAACGGUUCUUCGGAACUUAUUAAAGCGGCAGACGGGUGAGUAACACGUGGGAACCUACCUCAUAGUACGGAAUAAUUCAUGGAAACGUGUUGUAAUACCGUAUACGCCCUUCGGGGGAAAGAUUUAUCGCUAUGAGAUGGGCCCGCGCCAGAUUAGCUAGUUGGUGGGGUAAUUGCCUACCAAGGCGACGAUCUGUAGCUGGUUUGAGAGGAUGAUCAGCCACAUUGGAACUGAGACACGGUCCAGACUCCUACGGGAGGCAGCAGUGGGGAAUAUUGCGCAAUGGAGGAAACUCUGACGCAGCCAUGCCGCGUGAGUGACGACGGUCUUAGGAUUGUAAAGCUCUUUCGCUGGUGAAGAUAAUGACGGUAACCAGUAAAGAAGCCCCGGCUAACUCCGUGCCAGCAGCCGCGGUAAUACGGAGGGGGCUAGCGUUGUUCGGAAUUACUGGGCGUAAAGCGUACGUAGGCGGACUGAUCAGUUGGGGGUGAAAUCCCAGGGCUUAACCCUGGAACUGCCUUCAAUACUGACAGUCUUGAGUNCGNAAGAGNUGAGUGGAMUNCNUAGUGUAGAGGUGAAAYUCAUAGAUAUUAGGAGGAACACCAGUGGCGAAGGCGGCUCACUGGUCCGAUACUGACGCUGAGGUACGAAAGCGUGGGGAGCAAACAGGAUUAGAUACCCUGGUAGUCCACGCCGUAAAUGAUGAAUGCUAGCUGUCGGGCAGUAUACUGUUCGGUGGNCGCAGCUAACGCAUUAAGCAUUCCGCCUGGGGAGUACGGUCGCAAGAUUAAAACUCAAAGGAAUUGACGGGGGCCCGCACAAGCGGUGGAGCAUGUGGUUUAAUUCGAGGCAACGCGAAGAACCUUACCGGCUCUUGACAUUUAGUGACAACCUGAGAGAUCAGGCUUUCUUCGGACACUAGGACAGGUGCUGCAUGGCUGUCGUCAGCUCGUGUCGUGAGAUGUUCGGUUAAGUCCGGCAACGAGCGCAACCCCUGCUUUUAGUUGCCAGCAUUCAGUUGGGCACUCUAGAAGGACUGCCGGUGAUAAGCCGGAGGAAGGUGGGGACGACGUCAAGUCAUCAUGGCCCUUAUGGGCCGGGCUACACACGUGCUACAAUGGCGGUGACAGUGGGCAGCUACUGAGCGAUCAGAUGCUAAUCCCAAAAAACCGUCUCAGUUCGGAUUGUACUCUGCAACUCGAGUGCAUGAAGUUGGAAUCGCUAGUAAUCGUGGAUCAGCAUGCCACGGUGAAUACGUUCCCGGGCCUUGUACACACCGCCCGUCACACCAUGGGAGUUGGUUUUACCCGAAGCCGGUGCGCUAACUUUUGAGGCAGCCGACCACGGUAGGGUCAGCGACUGGGGUGAAGUCGUA
rnacentral:rRNA from 1 species